AUUGAACGCUGGCGGCAUGCCUAAUACAUGCAAGUCGAGCGGAGAGGCGGAAGGGGGAGUAAUGCCUAGGAAGCUGCCUGGGAGUGGGGGAUAACGUCAGGAGACGGGCGCUAAUACAGCAUAAUAGAAGAGGAGCCUAGGGCGGAUUAGCUAGUUGGGGGGGUAAAGGCCUACCAAGGCGACGAUCCGUAACUGGUCUGAGAGGAUGAUCAGUCACACUGGAACUGAGACACGGCCCAGACUCCUACGGGAGGCAGCAGUGGGGAAUCUUGGGCAAUGGGCGAAAGCCUGACCCAGCCAUGCCGCGUGUGUGAAGAAGGUCUUCGGAUUGUAAAGCACUUUAAUUUGGGAGGCGUUACCAACAGAAUAAGCCCCGGCUAACUUCGUGCCAGCAGCCGCGGUAAUUC
rnacentral:rRNA from 1 species